rnacentral:rRNA from 1 species
UACAGAGGGUGCGAGCGUUAAUCGGAAUUACUGGGCGUAAAGCGCACGUAGGCGGCUUGGUAUGUCGGGUGUGAAAUCCCCGGGCUCAACCUGGGAACUGCAUCCGAAACUGCCUUGCUCGAGUAUGGGAGAGGGAAGUGGAAUUUCCGGUGUAGCGGUGAAAUGCGUAGAUAUCGGGAGGAACACCAGUGGCGAAGGCGGUUGCCUGGAGCUUUGCUGACGCUGAUGCGCGAAAGCGUGGGGAGCGAUCCGG